rnacentral:tRNA from 1 species
CCCGGUGUAGCUCAGGGGUACAGUGCCUGCCUAAUGUGCACGAGGCUCUGGGUUCAAUUCCCAGUAUCAGGC